rnacentral:rRNA from 2 species
UACAGAGGGGGCAAGCGUUAUUCGGAAUUAUUGGGCGUAAAGGGCGCGUAGGCGGCUUUUUAAGUGAGAUGUGUAAUCCCCGAGCUCAACUUGGGAACUGCAUCUCAUACUGGGAGGCUAGAGUACUGGAGAGGGUGGUAGAAUUCCACGUGUAGCGGUGAAAUGCGUAGAGAUGUGGAGGAAUACCAGUGGCGAAGGCGGCCACCUGGACAGUAACUGACGCUGAGGCGCGAAAGUGUGGGUAGCAAACAGG